CUUUCCUCUCGUUACUAUGCUGAGUCGUUUCCCCCGCGCCUUCUUUCCCCUCGCGGCCGAUCAGCCCUAACCGUCGACGGCUCCUCAUCUCCUUCGCGUGCUUAAGCCGUGACAAAGAGAGAAGCUGACACUUCUCUUCCUCCUCCUCCCAUCUGCCGAUUUUUCCCUUUGCGUGCUGCGGCCUUUUCCCUCUUUGGAGCUGCGCGCCGACGCCGACCCACCUCCGCCGGCCACCAGGUCCAGCGCACUUUUCUCUGUUCUGUGCCCUAGCCGAUGCCACCACCGUCGUCUUCCUCGGCCCUAGCGUCAAUCAAGUUCCCAUCUCUGCCCUAGCACCGGCUGUGGCCAUUGUUCCCUACUAACGCCGCUGUCGUCACUCAACCCGAGCAGCGCCUCUGCCUAGAUCGGAUCUACUUCAAUCGUUGAGGCGCAGAUCUAUUGCCAUAGAAGCCACAGGUUUCAGCCGGGCCUCGCCUGAUCUUUGGUCAUCAUAGGCAGUUAGAGGAAGAGGUUAUUUUUUAGGUUCCAGCAACUACCCCUGUUCCGGCAGCAACAUCACCGGCUGAGGUUUCAGAAUUAGGAUUUUGACGUGAGACGAGUAUCUCGACGUCAAAUUUGGACUGGUUUGGACUUUUUGAUUGGAGGCAGGUUGAUGCUGUCCGGAGAGUUCCAGUCGCUAGUCCCCUGAAGACCCAGAGUUAUUUGAUCUUUUUGUUAUGUCUCUUAUUGCACUAUCUGGACUUGUAUUAGUUUACCUUAUGAAUAUUGUUGAUGACCUUAUUUGGAUUUGUUUUACUACACGCCUGCCUAGACGACAGAAGAGGUAAGUUGUUUUUAUCGUCAGAUUUGAGCUUUAUGAGUGUAGUGGAGUAGGACAUCAGUUUUGUGCUUUAUGAGUGUAGUUGAGUAGAGUUAUUUUUGAGUCUU